GACGAACGCUGGCGGCGUGCCUAAUACAUGCAAGUCGAACGCUUCUUUCCUCCCGAGUGCUUGCACUCAUUUGGAAAGAGGAGUGGCGGACGGGUGAGUAACACGUGGGUAACCUACCCAUCAGAGGGGGAUAACACUUGGAAACAGGUGCUAAUACCGCAUAACAGUUUAUGCCGCAUGGCAUAAGAGUGAAAGGCGCUUUCGGGUGUCACUGAUGGAUGGACCCGCGGUGCAUUAGCUAGUUGGUGAGGUAACGGCUCACCAAGGCCACGAUGCAUAGCCGACCUGAGAGGGUGAUCGGCCACACUGGGACUGAGACACGGCCCAGACUCCUACGGGAGGCAGCAGUAGGGAAUCUUCGGCAAUGGACGAAAGUCUGACCGAGCAACGCCGCGUGAGUGAAGAAGGUUUUCGGAUCGUAAAACUCUGUUGUUAGAGAAGAACAAGGAC
rnacentral:rRNA from 1 species